rnacentral:rRNA from 1 species
GAUGAACGCUGGCGGCGUGCCUAAUACAUGCAAGUCGAGCGAACGGACGAGAAGCUUGCUUCUCUGAUGUUAGCGGCGGACGGGUGAGUAACACGUGGAUAACCUACCUAUAAGACUGGGAUAACUUCGGGAAACCGGAGCUAAUACCGGAUAAUAUUUUGAACCGCAUGGUUCAAAAGUGAAAGACGGUCUUGCUGUCACUUAUAGAUGGAUCCGCGCUGCAUUAGCUAGUUGGUAAGGUAACGGCUUACCAAGGCAACGAUGCAUAGCCGACCUGAGAGGCUGAUCGGCCACACUGGAACUGAGACACGGUCCAGACUCCUACGGGAGGCAGCAGUAGGGAAUCUUCCGCAAUGGGCGAAAGCCUGACGGAGCAACGCCGCGUGAGUGAUGAAGGUCUUCGGAUCGUAAAACCCUGUUAUUAGGGAGGAACAUAUGUGUAAGUAACUGUGCACAUCUUGACGGUACCUAAUCAGAAAGCCCCGGCUAACUACGUG